GCACAAAACAAAAAAUAAAACCCCUUUUAUUGGCAUGUAAUGAGGUAGGGAUGAAGAGUCCUAAGGAUCUUAGACUCUACCAUAUAUUGUUGCCCUUUCACAAAUUCCAUGCCCCAAAAGAAAUAUGGAAUGCCCCCUUUCAUAAUUUUUUAUAAUGAAUCAAAUCAUUAUCUGAUUUUUCAUACAAAAAAUUCCCUCAAAAAGUCACACCAAAGAAGGAGAAUAAAAGGGAUGGCAUGUCGAGUGAUUUGGAUAAGAAUAAACUCUCUUGAUAAGGAAU
rnacentral:lncRNA from 1 species